ACGGGUAGCCGGCCUGAGAGGGUGACCGGCCACACUGGGACUGAGACACGGCCCAGACUCCUACGGGAGGCAGCAGUGGGGAAUAUUGCACAAUGGGCGCAAGCCUGAUGCAGCAACGCCGCGUGAGGGACGACGGCCUUCGGGUUGUAAACCUCUUUUAGCAGGGAAGAAGCGAAAGUGACGGUACCUGCAGAAAAAGCACCGGCUAACUACGUGCCAGCAGCCGCGGUAAUACGUAGGGUGCAAGCGUUAUCCGGAAUUAUUGGGCGUAAAGAGCUCGUAGGCGGUUUGUCGCGUCUGCUGUGAAAACCCGAGGCUCAACCUCGGGCCUGCAGUGGGUACGGGCAGACUAGAGUGCGGUAGGGGAGAUUGGAAUUCCUGGUGUAGCGGUGGAAUGCGCAGAUAUCAGGAGGAACACCGAUGGCGAAGGCAGAUCUCUGGGCCGUAACUGACGCUGAGGAGCGAAAGGGUGGGGAGCAA
rnacentral:rRNA from 1 species